CCUACGGGCGGCUGCAGUGGGGAAUUUUGCGCAAUGGACGAAAGUCUGACGCAGCAACGCCGCGUGGGUGAUGAAGGUCUUCGGACUGUAAAACCCUGUCGUCAGGGACGAAGGUGGCAGAGUUAAUAGCUCUGUUGCUUGACGGUACCUGGAGAGGAAGCCCCGGCUAACUCUGUGCCAGCAGCCGCGGUAAUACAGAGGGGGCAAGCGUUAUUCGGAAUUAUUGGGCGUAAAGGGCGCGUAGGCGGUUUUUUAAGUCAGAUGUGUAAUCCCCGAGCUUAACUUGGGAACUGCAUCUGAGACUGGAAGGCUAGAGUACUGGAGAGGGUGGUGGAAUUCCUCGUGUAGCGGUGAAAUGCGUAGAGAUGAGGAGGAACACCAGUGGCGAAGGCGGCCACCUGGACAGUAACUGACGCUGAGGCGCGAAAGUGUGGGUAGCAAACAGGAUUAGAUACCCCUGUAGUCC
rnacentral:rRNA from 1 species